UAGUUGGUGGGGUAAAGGCCUACCAAGCCGACGAUCUCUAGCUGGUCUGAGAGGAUGACCAGCCACACUGGAACUGAGACACGGUCCAGACUCCUACGGGAGGCAGCAGUGGGGAAUAUUGCACAAUGGGGGGAACCCUGAUGCAGCCAUGCCGCGUGAAUGAAGAAGGCCUUCGGGUUGUAAAGUUCUUUCGGUGAUGAGGAAGGUGUUUGUUUUAAUAGAACAAGCAAUUGACGUUAGUCACAGAAGAAGCACCGGCUAACUCCGUGCCAGCAGCCGCGGUAAUACGGAGGGUGCGAGCGUUAAUCGGAAUGACUGGGCGUAAAGGGCACGCAGGCGGUGACUUAAGUGAGAUGUGAAAGCCCCGAGCUUAACUUGGGAAUUGCAUUUCAUACUGGGUCGCUAGAGUAUUUUAGGGAGGGGUAGAAUUCCACGUGUAGCGGUGAAAUGCGUAGAGAUGUGGAGGAAUACCGAAGGCGAAGGCAGCCCCUUGGGAAAAUACUGACGCUCAUGUGCGAAAGCGUGGGGAGCAAACAGGAUUAGAUACCCUGGUAGUCCACGCUGUAAACGCUGUCGAUUUGGGGAUUGGGCUUUAAGCUUGGUG
rnacentral:rRNA from 1 species